rnacentral:lncRNA from 1 species
GACCGACCGAGUAAAAACCUUGUGCCAUUAACUAGAUUGGUUGAAUGAUUACAGCUAAUGAAUAUCUUAUUCAAGAUUGGAUGUACCAGUAUCAGGAUCCAAAUUGUUUCGUGGCGGUAUAGUUUGGUACAAUGCUGAUACCAUGCCGUUCUGGUCCGUUUCAAAAAUUUUUUUUAAAAUUUUUUUUUUAGUAGAUUUUGAACUGAAAUGGGCAUGUGAUCUGCCUACUUCAGUCUAAAAUUCAAAAAUCAGAAAAAAAAGUUUGAAACCUUCUUCCUUGUUCCACUCUCCUCC